rnacentral:rRNA from 1 species
UACGUAGGGCGCAAGCGUUAUCCGGAAUUAUUGGGCGUAAAGAGCUCGUAGGCGGUUUGUCGCGUCUGCCGUGAAAGUCCGGGGCUCAACUCCGGAUCUGCGGUGGGUACGGGCAGACUAGAGUGAUGUAGGGGAGACUGGAAUUCCUGGUGUAGCGGUGGAAUGCGUAGAGAUCCGGAAGAACACCGGUGGCGAAGGCGGUCUGCUGGGCCAAGACUGACGCUGAGGCGCGACAGCGUGGGGAGCAAACAGG